GAUGAACGCUCGCGGCAGGCCUAAUACAUGCAAGUCGAACGAGAUUAAGAGGCUUGCUUCUUAUGAAAGAGGCGCACGGGUGCGUAACGCGUAUGCAACCUACCUUAAUCAGGGGGAUAGCCCGAAGAAAUUCGGAUUAAGACCGCAUAAAAACACAGGAUAGCAUUAUCCAAUGUUCAAAUAUUUAUAGGAUUAAGAUGGGCAUGCGUGUCAUUAGCUAGUUGGCGGGGUAACGGCCCACCAAGGCGACGAUGACUAGGGGAUCUGAGAGGAUGACCCCCCACACUGGUACUGAGAAACGGACCAGACUCCUACGGGAGGCAGCAGUAAGGAAUAUUGGUCAAUGGAGGGAACUCUGAACCAGCCAUGCCGCGUGCAGGAAGACAGCCCUCUGGGUCGUAAACUGCUUUUAUUCGGGAAUAAACCUUUCUACGUGUAGGAAGCUGAAUGUACCGAAGGAAUAAGGAUCGGCUAACUCCGUG
rnacentral:rRNA from 1 species